rnacentral:rRNA from 1 species
AAAGAAUACCAUCCUGAAUGCACCUGACCUUGUCUGAUCUCGGUAGCUAAGCAGGGUUGGGCCUGAAUCGUACUUGGAUGGGAGAAAUACAGAAUUAUUUA